GCACAUAUACUAAAAUUGGAAUGAUACAGAAAAGAUUAGCAUGGCCCCUGCGCAAGGAUAACACGCAAAUUCGUGAAGCAUUCCAUAUUUUU
ensembl:snRNA U6 U6 spliceosomal RNA